AUCAACUUUCGAUGGUAGGAUAGAGGCCUACCAUGGUGGUAACGGGUAACGGGGUGUUAGGGCACGACACCGGAGAGGGAGCCUGAGAAACGGCUACCACAUCCAAGGAUGGCAGCAGGCGCGCAAAUUACCCAAUCCCGGCACGGGGAGGUAGUGGCAAUAAAUAACAAUACGGGGUCAUUUCGGGUCUCGUAAUUGGAAUGAGUACAAUUUAAAUCUCUUAACGAGGAACAAUUGGAGGGCAAGUCUGGUGCCAGCAGCCGCGGUAAUUCCAGCUCCAAUAGCGUAUAUUAAAGUUGUUGCAGUUAAAAAGCUCGUAGUUGAAUUUCGGGAUCAAGGUGCUGGUCAUGCCUUUGGUAUGUACUAACAUCAUUGAUUUCUCCCUUCUGACGAACCAUGAUGUCAUUAAUUUGGUGUCUUGGGGAAUCAGGACUGUUACUUUGAAAAAAUUAGAGUGUUUAAAGCAGGCACACGCUUGAAUACAUUAGCAUGGAAUAAUGAAAUAGGAUGUUUGAUCCUAUUUUGUUGGUUUCUAGGAUCGACGUAAUGAUUAAUAGGGAUGGUUGGGGGCAUUAGUAUUCAAUUGUCAGAGGUGAAAUUCUUGGAUUUAUUGAAGACUAACUACUGCGAAAGCAUUUGCCAAGGAUGUUUUCAUUAAUCAAGAACGAAAGUUAGGGGAUCGAAGACGAUCAGAUACCGUCGUAGUCUUAACCAUAAACUAUGCCGACUAGGGAU
rnacentral:sRNA from 1 species